rnacentral:rRNA from 1 species
GUGGGGAAUUUUGGACAAUGGGCGAAAGCCUGAUCCAGCCAUGCCGCGUGCAGGAUGAAGGCCUUCGGGUUGUAAACUGCUUUUGUACGGAACGAAAAGACUCUGGUUAAUACCUGGGGUCCAUGACGGUACCGUAAGAAUAAGCACCGGCUAACUACGUGCCAGUAGCCGCGGUAAUACGUAGGGUGCAAGCGUUAAUCGGAAUUACUGGGCGUAAAGCGUGCGCAGGCGGUUAUAUAAGACAGAUGUGAAAUCCCCGGGCUCAACCUGGGAACUGCAUUUGUGACUGUAUAGCUAGAGUACGGCAGAGGGGGAUGGAAUUCCGCGUGUAGCAGUGAAAUGCGUAGAUAUGCGGAGGAACACCGAUGGCGAAGGCAAUCCCCUGGGCCUGUACUGACGCUCAUGCACGAAAGCGUGGGGAGCAA